CUUUACAGAUGAAUAAUGUCCCUGAUGAUGGAAUUGUUCCUGUUGAUAAUCCAAACAUGCUGCCCCUGCAAGAAGAGGACAACUUCUACAUAGCUCACCGGCUAUUUGCAUUAUCAAAUAUUUGCCUUGAAGUCAGAGAAACAGCAAUCAAAGUUAUAACCGAUGAUCAACCUGGUAUGGCUCCUGUGCUUCUCUGCAUAGUUCUGCAAGGAUUUGCCAUCCUGAGUGGAAUCAAAAGGAAUACGAGUGAUCCAAAGACGCAGACUUGAAAAACAUUUAAAAGGAGCUUCACCACAUUUAAUAAUUUAGGGACAUUCAAUAUAGUUGAAGCAUUCUUUGGAUAACUUGGAUAUGAUUAAUAUUCAAGGGGUAGAUGAAAGGAUUACAGUACAAUUAUAAUUGAGAUGCACAUUAUAUACUGUUCAUAAUAUUUUCAUCCUUCAGGAAAUUGUAGAAGAGUAAUGUUGAGUUUGAUGUGAAAAGAUUAGGAAUUGUGGAUGAGUGUUGUAGAAUUGUCAGCAAGGAGUGAUCAAAAUGUCCCUAUUAGCAAAAAUGGCAAUGCCAUUGCUAAUUCUAUAUAAGAAAUAUAAUCAGGAAAAGCAUCUUGAAUGGAAAACUAUGUUGAUUUAUGACAAGAAAUUAGUUUAGAAUUGUGUGGCAUGAAAUUCCAUGUGCUUUGCUCCACGUUCAAAAAUUCAGAGCAUUGGCUUUCUCACAGAUUUCUGAGAAAUCUAAGCUUGGACCAAUAUAAUCUUUAGUUGAAAAUAUUAAAGGUUAGUCAUCUGAAUAUUCCAUGUUAAGAUUCAGCUAAAACGAAACUCAAUUCUAUUUUUAGACUUAAUUUUAUUAAAAUAAAGUGUAUUUACUAAUGUGGAUUUCUAUGAAAUAUUUAGUAGAAUUUACAAGUAAAGAUUCAUUUGCUAUUAUGAAUAAUGCCUGUUAUACUCUAAAAUCUGUUAAUUUUAUUAAAGCACUAACUUUGACAUCUCAAAUAUUAAUUUGUUAACUAUGACAAUAAAAGCUAUAAUUUUGAACGAU